rnacentral:tRNA from 1 species
GGGCACAUAGUUUAAUUGGAAAAACAAAAGAUUGCCAAUCUUUAAUUGCAGGUUCGAGUCCUUGCUGCGCCCA